rnacentral:rRNA from 1 species
GACGAACGCUGGCGGCGUGCCUAAUACAUGCAAGUCGAACGCAGUGGGGACGGGUGAGUAACACGUGGGUAACCUUCCCAUCAGAGGGGAUAACACUUGGAAACAGGUGCUAAACCGAUACUGAUGGAUGGACCCUCGGUGAAUUAGCUAGUUGGGGAGGUAACGGCUCACCAAGGCCAGGAUGCAUAGCCGACCGGCGAGGGUGAUCGGCAACCCUGGGCCGGAGACACGCCCCGGACUCCUACGGGAGGAAGCAGUAGGAAAUCUUCGGCAAUGGGCGAAAGUCUGACCGAGCACCGCCCCGUGAGUGAAGAAGGUUUUCGGAUCGUAAGACUUUGUUUUUAGAGAAGCGGUAUCUAACCAGAAAGCCACGGCUAACUACGUGCCAGCAGCCGCGGUAAUUC